UCGUUCGUGUUUUGAUUAAGUGUUCUAGCAAGUAUUGACAAGGAGAUUCGGAAUCUAAUCAAUGUGCACUAAUUAGAGGGGCUAGACGGAGCUAUACGUAGAGCACUUGCAAUCAUUCUUAUACUUUGACAAAUCAUACUUCGAAAGGGAUUUCGUUAUUACCUGAAUUAACAUAUGUAAUGAAGAUAUAAAAAUGUAACAAAACGUAAAUUGUAAAAGCACUUGAUAUCCCCCUCUGCCGGUCGUACGUGCCAAUUAGUUGUAUUUUCCGAUCGACGAUGGCGGAAUUGCAGCAAGCUGCCGGACGUUCAUCGGAUAAAUGUCAUUAACGUCCCCAUCCAGUAAACGUUUAGCUAUGAUAACAUUGGUUGCAUCGGACGGAUGGUAAGGAUCCCAAAAUACGUACUUCGACCUGUUUUCACAAACUAUCGACGGCGGACCACACGGAAUCAGACCACCGUGUGGCCCCGCCACAUGGCAGCACGCCCCAUCUGCAUUCUCAAAACCUGUAAACAACAAACAAUUUCUGAAAGAAUCAGUCCAACAUCUCGAAAACUAAUCACCAAAAUUCGAAUUCCAUUCAAACACGAACCGUAUGAAUCGUAUCUGACGAGAAUGUCAUUGAGAAUCCGAUAAGCGUCGGCAUGGACAAGAUGAGCUCCGACGAAGACUUCACCGAGUUGCUCAACAAGCGUUCUGAGGUUUACGUUGUACGACUGCGCCAGCUCGUUGGUGAAGCUGACGCAUUCGUCACCGGCGCCAGGGGUGACGUCUCUCUGGUAUGGAAUGCACCCGAUGGGACCCACGUUCACCACCACAAACUUCCGAGCACCCAAAUUGUACAAUUUCUGCAAAAACAUCAGGAUUUACUAUUCUCCAUCCUAAAAUUUUGAAAUGUAGAGCGACAAAUAGAAAUUCAGUUCUGUCAUCAUCAGACAGUUUUUCAGACGGAAAUGGGAAAUUGAGUGUCUUGCUUCUUACAGUGAGUUGAAGCCUGAAAGUUUCGAUCAUGGUCGCCAUGAAAACCUGAGGAGGUAUGAGUUUACGCUCGGGGAUGGAAAGGACGGGAGUAAGGUAGUUGUUAAGGAAGUCGUUUGAUCCAAUCGAAACAGCGAAAAUCGCCUUCGCCAUGAGCUUCUGAGCUUCCACUUCACCAAUCAUGGCUAUGAUCUCGUCCCUUGUUUUGCUGAAGUUGUCAAUUUGAACAUUCAUGCUGAUCCGACCACCCUGUCAAUUUCUCACACAUUUUAUUAAAGAUUUGAACUUUGAGAAUUAUAUAUAUUGAUGAUGAGGAUUCAAAAUGAAGUGGUUAAUUACUUACGAAAACCUUGCCAGUUUGAUUCAGAAUUCCUCCAGCACCAGAAGCAUAGUUGACACCCUGAAGAAUUACAGGACCUGUUGUCGUGGGAGCCAAGUAAGGAGGUGUGAAAUCCUCUGCACCCAAUUCCUGACCUGAAGAAAACAUUUAUAGAAGCCCAGUCAACGAAUGAUAAAAGAAUCGAUGGGAUCAGUGGCGUAGCUAGGAUUUCAAUCAAAAGGGGUCUAUACUAAGAUAAAAAUGAAAAUAACUAAAUAUCACAUUUUUGUACUCACGGGUUACGAUGAGUUUUUAAGUUUUUAUGUCGUGAAAGUAUUAUAGAAUACAUUAUUUUGUUAAAACAACUAACGACAUCUUUUUCGAUAUUUAAUUAAGAUAUUGUACAUCAAAUAUGUUAUAUGAUCUAGUGAUAAAAAAAAAAUUAUCUUACUUCAAGUGGAGUUCAAGGUUCGAAUCUGGUCAUAUGAAUAAUACAAACAAUGAUAGUUUGAAGAAAAAAGUAUAUAUAAGUGGGGUCCAAUGUACCAACUCAGAUAUGGUGGCUCUACACCUUCAUGUAAACCCUAUCCCAACAACUUAAAUUACGUGAAAAGUUCAUAAUAUGUUAUCAGAAUUUUAAAUAAUUCAUAGGUCUUCAUUUCAAACUCGUGUAGCCCUCUAAUCCAUUCACAUGACUUAUCAAAAUUGAACAUACCUUACCUCUUACGAGAACUUUCAUUUAAAAGAACGUGUUAAUGAAUAAUAAUAAAAAUCCAAGAUGAGCCCUCCCAACAACUUGAAUCAUCGGGACUCAUAGUUCAUGAAACUUUCAACUUGAACAAUGAACAUGAACAAAAUGUAGUAAGAUAGUGGAAGAAACUAUACCUAUAAUGUCGAUAAUGGUCCUUCCAUUAGUGUACCGACCAGUUGGCUCCCCGAAAUCAAUCCCAUUAGGAGGGUAAUUAGCCUUGGAGAGGGUAGCAAUGUAAUUGUUGUUUCCAUGAUCAAGUAACGAGUCCCCAAAUACAAAGCUUACCAGACCGCCGGAUGCAACCCAGAUUUCCGAUGACACCACCACAAGUAUAAUAACAACGGUGAAAGCUCCGACGUCGGAAAGGAGAGCCAUUAUUGUUUCUGUUGGAUGAAAGGAGAUUAUGAGAUUUUGGAGUUAAACAUUCACUUAAUACAAAUAUAAAGUAGCUAAGACUUGGGGCUUCACAGAGACAGAGAGGUUGGGGAGGAAAUUAAUUCUACCAAAUUUGAUGUGAAAGGUUAGGCUCUUAAGUAAGUACUUGUAUGGGAAAUCGUCUGUUUUGCAAUAGUAUUUGCCAGCAGUGUUCAUAAUUGAGCAGGCUGUGGGUACUGUUCUACUGGGGUAACCCAAUUGAACCAUCACUGUAUUAGAAAUACGUGGAUUAAUUUAGUGUUUACGCACGUAAAAAAAUUAAUUAUUGCUAUCGACGAUAAAUAUUAUAAUAAUCAAAAAAUAUUAAGAAUAUAAUUGAAGUUUUCUCUUAAAUUUAACGCACCCUUGAACAUUUCAAUUUUUUGUGCGAUUAAAAUGUUUAUCACCGAUAACGAUAAUCAAUCCCUUUGCUACUGGUAGACAAUAAACCGUUAGCCUUGAAAACUGCAUCAUCCUUAUCCGGCUUACAACUCACUAGAUUCUGGGCUUUAUGGGAAAUUUAUUCUUUACGAGUUGUGGGCUUUUACCCAUUUGGUCCUUGGGCUUUUUGGGAGGUUUAUGAGCUGAUUUAUUGUAAAAUAAAAUAUACAAUUUAANNNNNNNNNNNNNNNNNNNNNNNNNNNNNNNNNNNNNNNNNNNNNNNNNNNNNNNNNNNNNNNNNNNNNNNNNNNNNNNNNNNNNNNNNNGUUACAUAAUGACGAGUUACAUGAUAUUUUACUGGCAUAUAUUGCUCAACUUGAGCACAUCAUUUCCGUAUAGGAUGAUGUCAGUUGGAACAAUGCGAAUAACAACUCGUUAUUUAAUGGUUCAAUCAAAAUUAUAUUUUUGUGGCGAUAUUAAUUAUUAAUUAAAAAAUCAAUAAUAUAGCGAGGUUGUACAAAAUAAUUAUUAAAUUAAGAAGAAUUAAAAUGUUAGUACAAAGAAUUCAAUAUAUGAAUUUAACUUGUUAACCUAUUGAACCAUUUCGUAAUACAAUUUAGAAACUAUAAACAAUUUUGAAAUUGUUUUAUAAUAUAAAAUUUCAUAUUUAUUAAAGAAUUAGACUAACAAAAAUCUAUUCACUAUUAAUCUUGCUGAUUUAAUAUGUCUAAUUAACCGUUUUACUGAUGUUUCAAGUACUAGUUAAGUUAAACUAAUUAAUUCCCCUUUCCUACCAGCAUUAGGAUUCCUAAAUCUGAAAAAAUAACAAAAAUUCCGAAUCCUGACCCCAAACGGAUUCUCUCAGCCCUCCUCCAAUUAUAAAAUCCCCAAUCACUUGGCCUUGAUCUUCAUUCCGAUUUCCAAUUAAUUCAUCCAUCGAUCUGUUCUCCGUUUGCAAUGGCGUUCUCUAACAAUUUGAUCCGCGCCAGUGUCACCCUUGCCCACCAUCCACUGAAUCCCACCGCCGGUCCAGUUCCUUCUCCGGGGACGAAGAUACGCUCAACUUCCUCGACGGCCGUCUACGCCACCGUCCAAUACAUAGAGCUGAAAAGAAACAUCUGCCUGUUACCAGAAGGUAACCUCAGCGUCGUCGGAGAGUCUCUACAUUCCUCGCCGACGGCGCGGUCGCCGUUCUAUUUAGGCAAGUGCAACAUCGAUGACUUGUCCUUCCACCUGCGAAAUAUGCUGAACUGGUUCGGAAUAUCCGACCCGGAAACAACCCGGGUCCUCGCCAGACGGAUCAUGGAUUUGACUGCGACCCGAGAUCAUCUGUCACGCAUGCGGCUGAAUUUGGUCCUGCGUAAGAUCGACGACAUUGUUUUCGACAAGAUGGCCGACUUGGCCGGGGAGGAUUGCGCAAUCUGCUUGGUCGCCGCUGCCGGCGUCAUCGCGGCGGAGAUGCCUUGCCGGCAUCGGUUCCACUCCGGGUGUAUUGCCAGUUGGUUGAAACGGAGCCGUACAUGUCCGCUAUGUCGAUUCGAGCUCCCCUUGGGGACGAGCAUUGAAGCGGCGUAUCGGAGAUUCGCCGACGCAACAACGGAACCAGAAUUGUCAAAUGUUUCCGACGGAGUCUCAAUCUUGGAAAUCGAUUAAUGUAUCGACAAGAUCUAUUGUUUUUUGCUUUUAUUCCAAUUUUCAAUUAGAAGAACAUGUACGUAUUUGAUUCUUUUUUAUGUUAAUUUUGGCUCAUGUAUAUUAAAUCGUAUGGCCUCAUUUUAAUUCAUAUCAUUGACAAUUGUUAUGGGUUGUCACUGAUAUUAGUCAUGGAAUAACAUAAGUCAAUAUAUCCAAACCCUGCCCUACAAAAAUUAGGAGUGGAGGUUUGAACCGCCCGUAUCACGGUUAUGGGAUGUGGUCUAUUUUUUUCAUCUCCCCUACAAAAAUUAGGUGUGGAGGUUUGAACCGCCCGUAUCACGGUUAUGGGAUGUGGUCUUCUUUUCUCAUAUUUCGAAUUUGAUUGUCCGCAACCUCCUCGGUCUUCAGAGUAGACAUCGUUGUCGAAAGGGUCGAUGUUUGAAAAGAUGAGUUUGGAGCUGAUGGUGUCGCUGUCGUCGCUGUCCAAGCUCCCGGGAUGACAGCAGCCAUCGACGGUUUAGGGUUGGUGGGGCCCGAAUCCGGCGUCGACUGCUUCCCGACGAACAGGCUGUGAUGAUGAACGUGACAUGAUGAAAAUGACGGCGAAAGAUUUCUACGUUGAGGAAGAAAUAAAACCCUGACAGAAGGGACGAGGAACAAAACCUUAAUGGGAGAGUGAGGAACGAGCAUUCACGCCUUCCUUUUACCUUAUCUUAUUUAGUCACUGAUUAAUGUAACAACUAUAAUCACGUUUGUUUUACCUUUCGGUACAAGUGAAUUAGUUGUAUUUGGCCACAGAUGAUGUUGAUGAAGGGGGAAUUGCAGCAAGCUGACGGAUGUUCAUCGGUGAAAUGUCAUUAAGGUCCCCAUCCAGUAAACGUUUAGCUAUGAUAACAUUGG
rnacentral:lncRNA from 1 species